rnacentral:lncRNA from 1 species
GGCUGGAUUCUCGUGGGAUGGGGGUGUGCCUCUCUGCAGACAACUGGUCUGAGUUCACCAGAUCACCUCAGGGUCUGAAACAGAACUUUUUCAUGAUGCUCUGUGGGGACGGGCAUUGAGGGAACCACAGCAGCACACCAGAAGUCAAACAGGAG